rnacentral:tRNA from 1 species
UAGAAGGUAGUAUAAAGGGAGUACGAGGGGUUUUGGGCCCCUUGGUACGGGUUCAAAUCCUGUGUUUCUAA